rnacentral:rRNA from 1 species
UACGGAGGGUGCAAGCGUUAUCCGGAUUCACUGGGUUUAAAGGGUGCGUAGGUGGGCUGGUAAGUCAGUGGUGAAAUCUCCAGGCUUAACUUGGAAACUGCCAUUGAUACUAUCAGUCUUGAAUACCGUGGAGGUCAGCGGAAUAUGUCAUGUAGCGGUGAAAUGCUUAGAUAUGACAUAGGACACCAAUUGCGAAGGCAGCUGGCUACACGAAUAUUGACACUGAUGCACGAAAGCGUGGGGAUCAAACAGG